CAGUAGACUUCUCUGAACACAGAAGAUUGGUCGGGAUAUCAUUACUAACAGACAUUGACUGAUCUGCGGUCUCUUGACACCUGGACAUUGAACAGCCAGCCACGUCAGACUGACUCCUUUUUGAGCUAAAUAAGCUCAUGUUUUGCUUCAGUCAAACACACCAUUGACUUCCUUUGUACCAUGUGGGGACUGAUGCCACAGUCAAGUUACUCUAACCUAAGCAAGCAUCCACAGCUCCUGGUCAACAGGGGGUGGAAGCAUCCAGCCAACGUUUUCAGUCUCAGAAGCUAAGCAGGAUUGGGCCCGGUUGGUCCUUGGGUGGGAAACCUCCACAGAAAAUCAGAGGUGUAUGCUAGAUACAUUUUAAAAAAUCCUAGAAGAAAGCAACAGCAACUACUUCCAUAUUGCUACAAAGAAAACUACAUGGACAUCCCAUGAAGUUGAGCCCAAGUUAGAGACUUUUCUCUUAAUUGAAUCACACAGCAGGCUGGAUUGCUUACUGAAUAAUCACUAUUCUGCUACUUUUUGAAAGUGCAAAUGGAAAAUUGAAAAAAACAAAACAGUUCUGUAAGGAGAGAAGAAAAGGAUAUUUAUCUUCCAAGAAAGAGCUUUCUGUUAGGUCCUCAUGGAGAUACUACUCAGCAGCCAGCAGAAAAGGCAAAGUUUUAUCUAACAAAGAGCUACACAGCUAUGCCCCAAACACUGUCUUUCAGGUACAAAUUUUGGGCCUUUUCUUUCAUUCUGGGGUAAAUUUGUCCAGCCAUCAAGUAUUCCUGAGAGAACCAUGAAUUCAUGUACGAUAAUGGUGACAAACAA